GGGGGGGGGGGGGGGGGGGGGGGGGGGGUGGGGGGCGGGCGGUGGGGGGUGGUGCGGGGGGGGGGGGGGGGGGUGGCGAACGGGUGGGUAGUACGGGGGUAACCUGCGCUUUACGCUUGGGUAAGCCUGGGAAGCUGGGUCUAAUACGGGAUACGCCCUUUCACCGCAUGGUGGCUUGUGGCACGGGGUUGCCUGGUUUUGGAUGGGCUCACGGCCUAUCCGCUUGUUGGUGGGGUAAUGGCUCACCAAGUCGACGACGGGUAGCCGGCCUGAGAGGGUGACCGGCCACACGGGGACUGAGACACGGCCCAGACUCCUACGGGAGGCAGCAGUGGGGAAUAUUGCAAAAUGGGCGAAAGCCUGAUGCAGCGACGCCGCGUGAGGGAUGACGGCCUUCGGGUUGUAAACCUCUUUCAGCACGGAAGAAGCGAAAGUGACGGUACGUGCAGAAGAAGCGCCGGCUAACUACGUG
rnacentral:rRNA from 1 species